UACGAAGGGGGCUAGCGUUGUUCGGAAUUACGGGGCGUAAAGCGCACGCAGGCGGAUCGAUAAGUCAGGGGUGAAAUCCCGGGGCUCAACCUCGGAAUUGCCUUUGAUACUGUCGAUCUCGAGUCCGGGAGAGGUGAGUGGAAUUCCUAGUGUAGAGGUGAAAUUCGUAGAUAUUAGGAAGAACACCAGUGGCGAAGGCGGCUCACUGGCCCGGUACUGACGCUCAGGUGCGAAAGCGUGGGGAGCAAACAGG
rnacentral:rRNA from 1 species